rnacentral:rRNA from 1 species
UAAGGUCACGGCGAGACGAGCCGUUUAUCAUUACGAUAGGUGUCAAGUGGAAGUGCAGUGAUGUAUGCAGCNNNNNUGAGGCAUCCUAACAGACCGAGAGAUUUGAAC